rnacentral:rRNA from 1 species
UACGUAGGUCCCGAGCGUUGUCCGGAUUUAUUGGGCGUAAAGCGAGCGCAGGUGGUUUAUUAAGUCUGGUGUAAAAGGCAGUGGCUCAACCCUUGUAUGCAUUGGAAACUGGUAGACUUGAGUGCAGGAGAGGAGAGUGGAAUUCCAUGUGUAGCGGUGAAAUGCAUAGAUAUAUGGAGGAACACCGGUGGCGAAAGCGGCUCUCUGGCCUGUAACUGACACUGAGGCUCGAAAGCGUGGGGAGCAAACAGG